rnacentral:tRNA from 1 species
AUACUCGUAGCUUAGUAGUAGAGUACUGGUGCUUAAAACCAGAGAUCCGGGUUCUAUUCCCGACGAGGGCA